CCAAAUACCACCAGAACAGCCUGCCAACGAACCAAAGCUAAGGUGAUGAAGCCAACUGCAGGAGGGGAGAGCGUGGCCUUGACCAGAGGCAGUCCGGAGACUCUCUUGGUGUGUCAUAAGGGGCAGGGCCAGACUCUUCUAUCACAUCCUGAACGUCUCCUUUCCCCACCCUCUGCUGUCUUCAAUCCACCUAUAUUAGCCGGGGAAUUCUUGGUUGCAGACAACAGGAUCCACUUCAGCUAGUUUAAGCCAAAGCGGAUUUUUGAAGGCAUAGAGAGCUCACAGAAUUAUCAGGAGGGCCGGAGAUGCAGGACCUAGGCUGGCUUCCAGGGACAACCGGCUUCCCAAGUCACACUGAAGAACUGGCUCCCCGAGGGAGCUGCCACCUCACCAGGAUUCGGAAGCUGCCAAGUCAGGAUGUUACUGCCUUGGCUCCUGUCUCCGGAACCGGGCUCCCUCUGCCACAAUCCAUGCCAACAAAACGAUGCCCUGUUCCCUGUCUCUAUCUCCAUGUCACAAAACCCUCACGGGAGAGGUCCCUCCCUAUACCCGGAGGAAAGGAGCAUCUGGAUGUCCACAGAGAAGGGAAGCUGAAGAAUCCUAACAAACAGGCCUCGCUCACUGGACCCACCUCACUGCUCCACCUCACGCUCUCUGACUUUUCAUAUUUUUCCACGACUGUCCACUCUUCGUCAAACCCAGCACAAAA
rnacentral:lncRNA from 1 species